rnacentral:piRNA from 1 species
UGUAAUGGCAACGGUGCAGGUCGCUGA